rnacentral:rRNA from 1 species
AAUUUGCCUACUCCGCAUUCAGGUCACAGGAACGUGACCCGUUAUCCGCGGUCCGCGUUAGAUAUUACUAAUUUUAUAUGGUAUGCAUACCGCCAUUGAUUGAUUAUCUUUAUAGACUUGAUUUUUUUUCUUGCUUCUUUAUUUUUAAUUAUUUCACGUCGUGGAGCUUUUUGUUUCUGAAAGGAAAUGAUACAUUACAUUGUUAUUUGUGUUUGGAUUGUUGAUUUAUUGAUUGGAAUGAAAAUGGAUUUGGUUGGAAUUGUUUGAAGAUUGCUGUUGUGAUAAUUGGUUCAGGGAUAUGUACACCUCGUCCGUCUUUCU